AAGUCACAAGGACAUGUAAGCAGCCAGUGGACAAGUUUCAUGUGGAAAAGUCCAUGUAGUGAGAAACUGAGGCCUCCUACUGACAGCCAAUAGGAAUUCAUUACGCAUUUGAGAGUGAAACAUCAUGGAAAUCUAGCCCCAGGUCUUUGUACACCCAGAGCCUGGUAACAUUAUGAUCAUGUAAUGUUGGCUGAAUGAAUAAAUGAACAUGCCUCUAUCUGGGAUAAUCACAGGCUUUAUCUAAAGAAAGGAAAUUCGAACAAAUAACCCUUUGAGGGGUCAGAGAGAUCAAAUGGAAAAUUUAUCAGGCAGAGAACUAGAAGCUCCGGGUUCUCCUCCUUACUUUAUCACUAGGAGCAUGAUUCCAACAGAUGAUGAGUAAAAGGAUGAGAAGAUCUGCUCGGGACAUCACGGAAGGUUGCAGGAAGACUGGGAUAAGCUGAGCCCUGUGCAAGAACAGGAUAUUCUGCUUUUAGUUAAAUUUGUACAUCAGUAAGUUCCUACUGUUUACCAAGGCACUGGGAUACAAUAAUGAAUAAGACAACAUACGCUUAUGUGAAAUAGUGAUAGAAAGUAAACAGUAAACAAAUAGAAUAAGCGCUAUAGAAUGGCAUAUGUGAGGAUGUGGUGAUGGGAAAAUAUACUAGCCUUAUAUAUUUUAGUUCCAAAGGAUUAUCUUUCGUCAUUUUAAUGAAAACAUAAAAAUUGUAUAUAUUUAUGGUGUACACCAUGAUGUUUUGGAAUGUGUUAUACAUUGUGGAAUGGCUAAAUUGAGUUAAUUAAUGUAUGCUUUACCUUACAUAUUUUUGUGUGUGUUGAGAAGAGUUAAAAUCUACUCUGUUAGUAAUUUUCAAGUAUAUAAUACAUUGUUAUUAAUUAUAGUCACCAUGGUGUACAAAAAUAGGCUGAUUUUUAUCUGUGGAGUUGGCUGACACUGAACUUAUGAAGAAGAACACGAGUGGAAAGGUGGACUGGGACCAGAGGCAAGUGUUCACCUUGGAAAUCAGGCCACAGUGUUUUUUGUUUUUGUUUUUCACAUUGCGGUGUGUUAGAUCCUUUUCCUUCUUCUGGAAAAUAUUUGUUUUAAUUAUCCAAGUGACUCAAUACAGGAAAUAUUUAGAAUGCAGAAAAUAAAUUAGAAAGACUUAGACUUCAGAGGUAGAAGCCUAAUUAUGCUAUAUUCCCAACCUUGUAUCCUUAUCAGUAACACAGCCAGUAUCUCACUAUUGCUCUAACUUUUCUACUAUUUCUCAUUUAGUUGUGAACUUGGAAGAAAGUAGAAUGAUUAAUGAUACUUCCUAACACCCCCACACCAACUUCUAGGCUUUUACAUGAACUAAAAAAUCUCCUUUACAGAUAUGCCAGCUUGACUUCAGUUUCUAUCACUUGAAACACAAAAUGUUUUGACUCAUACAUUAUUUCUGACAAACACUCUGAGCCAGACUGGUUCCCAUUUA